GCUCCCGUGCGGUGGCGGCGAGGCCCGGCCCGCCCGCGGCUGUGCCCGUGAGCCCCGUGUGCCGUGCGGGAGCUGCCGGCGCGGGGCCUGUGAGGAGGCGCUCCCGCCCGGGGUCCAGGUGUUAUAAAAUGGACAGGCCCUUCAUUCCCGGCUCCAGCAUUGGGUGAGGAGGGACACUGGACAUGCCUUCAAUUAUGAUAGUUCUGUCACUGCCUCAGCUGUCCUGUGCCAUGCCUGAUGAUGACCAUGGGGUCAUUCUCCUGAGCAGACUGCUCUGUACUCAGCCACCUGGCCUGCAUUCUCCAGUAGAUUCACCAACCUGGCAGCAUAACAGUGGAGCGGUUUAGUACCUGUGGAGUCCCACUGCAGGGGUGUAUGAGCACCUCACAUUUGGCUCAGAAAAACUGCCCUUGCACAGUCCAGCAAGAGGGUUGUGAAGUCCUGGGGACUUGCCAGUUCAGUUCACUAGCUGGAAAGUAUUUUGCCAGAUUACAGCUAUGGUUUGAACACUUGAGGUGGAAGCUGGUAGUGGGGAGUAGAAUCAUAGCUUCACCAGCAGUCUUUGUGCAUUAGAGGCUCUGUUUGGAGGUUCAGAUGUCCUCACACAUCUGCUCUGAUGCCCAUGUGUACACUUGUUCAGGUAUCUAGUUAAAAAUAAGAAUUGGGCUCUCAGUUCUUGACCGAUAGGGGUAAAACAUGUUCCGGUGGGUAGAAGCUGGACCCAGAGUCAAGGAGUGCAUUUUUAAGCAAAGAAUGGUGCUUUCUCACCACUUCAAUCCCCUGCACAGGAGCUGUACCCUAGAGCUGCUGUUCCCUGGGACAGCUAUGCCAGCAUCAGCAGGGCACACAUGGCCACAAGCUGCUGUGCUCACUGGCAGACAAGGCAGAAAGUCUCUGGCCUGCUUACAGCAGGUCUGACAAACUGACCAUAACAACCUUUUCUGUCCUGAAAAUAUCUUAAAUCCUGCUAGGUUAAGAAAUGACCCUGUACUGGUAUAGCUUAGUGUUGCUAAACCAUCUGAGGGCUUUGAAGCAGAUACUCAAGAGCAGAUGGUACUAAUCACUGCUGUAGCAACAUACUCACCUGGUUUUGUGGUUUCUAAAGGCCUGUUUUGGCAAGACUUUUUUUAAAGCUAUUUGAAAAAGACAAGCUUUUGACACACAGUUCUAGGUAAAAUAUCACUAGUUUGGCCAGCGAUGUUUAUUUGUAAAGACCUUGCAUAUUGUAGAGGCCACUGCUUGUUCCUGGCGAUUCUCUAGAAUGGAAACUUGAACCAGUGA